rnacentral:lncRNA from 1 species
AAAGCCGAAAAACCCUUCCAAAAUCCCCCGUCGCUACUGCCUAUAUAAAAAUAUUAGAGACCCCUCCCUCGGUAUCCUUAAGGGGGGGUGAUAGGCGAGGGCUUUGGCUUCGGUUGCGGCGGUGAUGCGGAGAGUGAGAAAGACAAGUGAAGACAACACUGGAAGCGGCCAGAAACAUGUAGAUGAAACCAAAAAAAUCUGAGGGGAGCGUGAUGUUCUAUUUUCCAAUAUAGUUUUCAAUCUGAAUUUCGAUGGCUGCUCGUGUUUCUUCUUCUUCUCCCUCUUCGCUUUCCCUUAAUCAACUUGGCCUUCCCUCAAUGCCUCCUUCCUGGACCUUGUGAUGUUUGGCUUUUCAUAGCUCUGAAGGUUCAAUUUUCUUCUUCUGUCAUCCUUCCCUCCUUUUUCUGAUUUUCUAAUUCCAAUUUGGUUUCCUUUUUUAUUUCAUUUUGUGGGUGUGUUAAAGCUUCUUUAGUCGCUAGCUAUGUUUGCUUCAUUUUUUUAGCUAAUCGCAAAAUCCAAUAAUCUUAGUUUAAAUCAAGGUUUGAACUGUUUUAAUAUGGGCGGUGCCCUGCUCCAUACAUGCUCAAGGACUAAAGUGAAUAGCUUUUAAGAGUGAUUAGAUCACCAGCGUUUAUCAGUUUGACUUAUUCAUAAACAUUUGGAAGCUUACUUCGGUAGUCUAGUGCUGCAUUAUAAAUUUAUUUAUUGGUAUAAAAUGUGGAAUUGCAGCCUGCCUUUUAGGGUUUUGGCCUUUUGUAUUUAUACCAAAACGGCUUAGAUAAAUCAGUGUAGUGAAGGGUAAAUAUUACAUGUGAAACCAAACUAUUAUAUAUAUUUAACUUUAUGGUUGGAUGUUUAAGUGUUAUAGCAUUACUUGUUUGAAGAUUUUUCACAAUUUAUAUAAGAAUAAGAUAGUACAAAGGGUGGGUAAUGACAUAUUUGGUUUCUUUAGAUAAUGCACUUAUCCAUGGUUUUUGUCAAUUUGUUAUUAUAUGUUUGUAUUUUGCUUUUAUCCGUGUUUGUUUAUACAUCUUAUGAAAAUGAUUAAGAAUGUUUUUAUGUACAUAGUUUUAGUUGUCCCUGUGAAGCUCAAUGCUUAUAUUUUUGUUAUUUGGGGUUUUAAGUAUGAGUGUUUGAUGUUGAUGUGUCUAACAUGAGUAUGAUCAUUUUUUUGUAAGUUUUUCUAUGUCUUUGAUGUGUCAUAUUUACUCACCAUUUUUUUUAUACCCGUUGGACAUGGGUGCUUCAAGAAAAAUGAAGUCUUGAAGCAAUGCAAGGUUAGAUCAUGCUAUCUAUGAUGGACUGCCAUAGCAAUGCAGGUCUAGAGCGUGUUUCCUAUUAUUGACUAUAAUUGCAUUUGUGGGAGGGAUUUGGCUCCCCUCUAUUUCUUUUUUGUUCAUUACUAUCUGAUACAUGUUUAACCAUCAUUCACAAGAUUUUUAUAUUUAAUAAAUGGAUUCUACACAUUUGAAUGGUGAUGAUUAAUGUAUUGAAUAUUAAUGGAUGAAAAAGUAAUGGAUUGAAUCUUAACUCAAUUGACGGGAAUUUGUUGUCAGACCUCUUGACACCCAAGAUGGCAAUGUCAGGCUUACAUAUUCUGUAAUUUCAAUUAAAAUACCAUUAAAACCAUUCCAUCUACUUGUUAAAACCCCACAUUCAACUUAGUGUAGGGUUUUAACAGGUAGCUGGGAACAGUUUUAAUUGUAGUUUUAAUGUGAGGUUUUGAUGGUUAAGAUGGGAACGGUUUUAA